GCCAGUGUGGCAUAGUGGUUUGAAUGUUGGGCUAUAACUUUUGAGAUCAGGGUUCAAUUCCCUGCUCAGCCA